GUGAGCUGCUUCGCUUUCGUCUAGAUCUGUGAUGGUUUCACUCUGACAAUCAACAGUUUGGCAGCCAGUGGGCCAAAGAAAGAUAAGGACUGUGAGGAGGUGAGAAUGGCAGAAGAUUUUGAUGAACUCACUCAGUCCUCAGACACAGCCACAGAUGAUGCUGAUUCACCUGCUACAGGCUACAACCACGCAUCCCUCCUCAUUAAGAAACUGGACUCAGCAACUUUGGAUUCAACAUGCGUAGUGAAGCUGCAGAACAUUUUCCAUGAAUAUGAGCGCUCCAUCAAGAAGGCAAAGGAUCGGCAUAGGUACUUGACUGAUAAAGUGGCCCUGCUGGAAACAGAAAGGCGAGACUUGAAGAGCUCUUUGGAGGACAUUAAAAAUGCCAAGUCUGCCAUGGAACGGGUGCCGUUGGAAUUAGAGAUGAGACCCAUUUAAUUGGUCAGUGCUAUCUCAAAGUCAAUUUUUCUUUCUCUUUCAGCUCAUGGGGUUGCUGACAGGGAAACAAACCCCACACACACAUUUUUUUCUGUCCAGGUAAUCACUGUUACGUCCCCACAAAUGGGGUCUAGGGGAAGGUGUGGGGAGCAGUAACAAACAGGACCGGGAAAGAAUCAAAAAGGAAAACAAACAAAGAUGUUUAGCAUAUAUUACGGUUUUAUUACAAAUAAUAUUAACACAAAGAGACGACAACGCCGCUUUAUCAAUAAGACCAAGAAAAGAAAAAGGUUACAACAGCAAAGAAAACAACAAACAAACAACAAAGUAAGAGGGUCCACAGGCCCACCCUGUCGCUAGCAACAAGCUCUCCUGCUGUUGAGGCCCACAAGCCCACGCUACUUACUUGAAGCAGCUACUCUCCCGACUGCUCCUACAACUCCACACCACAGGCAGGACAAUCACACAGAAGGACCUUUGCAUCACCUAGAAAGCAGUGUAGAGACACGGGACGACCACCCCCGCAUCACACAGUUCUUUCCCAACCUAUGUAACCUCUGAGAAGUAAUUGCUGACCCGGACAAGCCCCCACUGGUUACGUUCCCCUAAAAAGGUCCAGGGGAUGAGGGAAAGUAAGAAAAGGUGUCCAGGUCGAAAAAAGGAGACAGGAAGGCAAAAUUGUUAAAUUAGAGUUUUAUUAAUGCUUCUAUUAGUAACUGAACUAAAAGAGACAGACAAGUCGCUGUCAUCUUUUAAAGAAACAAAACAAAACUCAGGUGUUGGUCAGUAAACUGAAAAGUAAAAAGGAUUAGACACUAAACACACACUCAUCUCCACAGAGCAGGAGCAAACAAUCACCACACACAGCUCACUAGCUGCAAUCACCAACAUGGCUCUCUGGCCCUAGAGCUUACCUUUCUCUGGCGUUAAGUACUUCUAAUUUCUGACGGGAAUCAGCUGUACAAGAAAGAUGGCAUCUGAGACAGGAGAGAUGGCAGGACACACCCAGACAAGGGCAAUUUCAGGAGGAUGCCCUGCUAGGGUCGUAACAACCCCUCCCAUAAAUACAAACCGGCGGGUUGUCACGGAAAAUCCUACACAUUGCAAUAAGCAAACCUACUAACUAUACCUGCGAUUGUUACACCAAAUUUUAAAUAUACCACCUACCAAACCCCAUAGUAACGAUUAGGCAUAGCCUGCGGAAUCUGCCAACACCUUCUGAAUGGGUCCAAAACACUGGAUGAGGUUUGCCAGAUUCUCUUGAAAUAGUGUCCCAUGUGGGGGGUCGUCCGGGAUCAUGAAUGAAAGGAACUGAAACAGCGAUUGAGAUUUGGUGUUUGUAUGCUGUUUUUGGGUCGCUUAUUUAGUUUCUACAGAAAAAUAUGAAUUGCCUUCACUGGCAUGUAAAAGAGUGCCUGAUGAGCCCAGUUGUAAGUAAGCUAUUAGGACCUGACUGUACACUGCAUUCGGCUGUUCCUCCGAAAAAUUAAGUUCCGCUGGAGAAGCUUUUCAACGCCUCUCUCUGUCUCUCACUAGCACAGUUGACCCAGACAACAAAGUAAAGCAAGUUUUCGGUUACGAGCCUGACACAGAACCCAACGUAUUAGCCAGAGGUCCCUUUACUACAGUUUGGAGCCGCAGCCAUGUUUUAGACAGGUGCGGAAUAGUUUUCAAUACGAGAUCACUGCCAAAAGUGCAGUCUUAAUGUCCACCCUACUGUUACUCAUUUUAUAUUAAGAUUUAAAAAUGUAGAUGGUAUUGGUAUGGCGAGUAGUAAUAGUAAUAAACCAUACAGCAAUAGUACAUUCAUGUA